CCAUCCCGUGACACUCAAAUGUGGGAGCACUCUUCUGGAAUCUAGGUGGAAAGUGCUUCAACAUUUGGGUGUCAUCGGUGGG
rnacentral:pre_miRNA from 12 species